rnacentral:rRNA from 1 species
AGAGUUUGAUCAUGGCUCAGGAUGAACGCUAGCGGCGGGCCUAAUACAUGCAAGUCGAGCGAUAGCCUUCGGGCGAAAAGCGGCGCACGGGUGCGUAACGCGUAUGCAACCUACCUCCGGCUGGGGGAUAGCCCUGCGAAAGCGGGAUUAAUACCCCAUGGCCUGGACAUCGCGCAUGCGAAGUUCAGUAAAGUGCUAGCGGGCGGAGAUGGGCAUGCGUGCCCUUAGCUAGUUGGCGGGGUAACGGCCCACCAAGGCGACGGUGGCUAGGGGGCCUGAGAGGGUUGUCCCCCACACUGGUACUGAGACACGGACCAGACUCCGACGGGAGGCAGCAGUAGGGAAUAUUGGUCAAUGGGCGCAAGCCUGAACCAGCCACGCCGCGUGCGGGAGGAAGGCGCUACGCGUCGUAAACCGCUUUUGCCGGGGAAGAAACCUCUCCAUUGAGGGAGCUGACGGUACCCGGAGAAUAAGGACCGGCUAACUCCGUGCCAGCCGCCGCGGUAAUAC